rnacentral:rRNA from 1 species
CUUUUUAAUUGAAGGCUGGAAUGAAAGGUAGAAUUUUGAAGGGUUGGUUUUAAGAGAAUACUUUGAAUUUUAGUUAAUAAUAAGAAUGUUUUUAUAAACUUUUGGGACGAGAAGACCCUAGAAGCUUGAAAUUAUUGAGUUUUUGGUUGGGGUGACUAUUGAAGAUAUUAAUCUUUUAAUAAUUAGUAUGUUGGAAGUUACUCUAGGGAUAACAGCGUUAUUUAAUUGAAGAGUUCUUAUCAAAAAUUAAUGUUGCGACCUCGAUGUUGAAUUAAAUUUUAAAUAAGGUGAAGGAGCUUUAUUUGGUAGUCUGUUCGACUAUUGAAAAUUUACGUGAUCUGAGUUCAGACCGGA